CCGAUGGCGACCGGCGCACGGGUGAGUAACACGUAUCCAACCUGCCGAUAACUCGGGGAUAGCCUUUCGAAAGAAAGAUUAAUAUCCGAUAGGAUAUCAAGAUCGCAUGAUCUUGAUAUUAAAGAAUUUCGGUUAUCGAUGGGGAUGCGUUCCAUUAGUUAGUUGGCGGGGUAACGGCCCACCAAGACGACGAUGGAUAGGGGUUCUGAGAGGAAGGUCCCCCACAUUGGAACUGAGACACGGUCCAAACUCCUACGGGAGGCAGC
rnacentral:rRNA from 1 species